UGCAGUCGAGGGGUAUUAGGAGCUUGCUCCUAAGAGACCGGCGCACGGGUGCGUAACGCGUAUGCAAUCUACCUUGUACAGAGGAAUAGCCCAGAGAAAUUUGGAUUAAUGCCUCAUAGUAUAUUGGGUCGGCAUCGACCUAUUAUUAAAGAUUUAUCGGUACAAGAUGAGCAUGCGUCCCAUUAGUUAGUUGGUAAGGUAACGGCUUACCAAGACGAUGAUGGGUAGGGGUCCUGAGAGGGAGAUCCCCCACACUGGUACUGAGACACGGACCAGACUCCUACGGGAGGCAGCAGUGAGGAAUAUUGGGCAAUGGAGGCAACUCUGACCCAGCCAUGCCGCGUGCAGGAAGACGGUCCUAUGGAUUGUAAACUGCUUUUAUACGGGAAGAAACACUCCGACGUGUCGGAACUUGACGGUACCGUAAGAAUAAGGAUCGGCUAACUCCGUGCCAGCAGCCGCGGUAAUACGGAGGAUCCAAGCGUUAUCCGGAAUCAUUGGGUUUAAAGGGUCCGUAGGCGGCCUUAUAAGUCAGUGGUGAAAUCUCCUAGCUCAACUAGGAAACUGCCAUUGAUACUGUAGGGCUUGAAUUAUUGUGAAGUAACUAGAAUAUGUAGUGUAGCGGUGAAAUGCUUAGAUAUUACAUGGAAUACCAAUUGCGAAGGCAGGUUACUAACAAUCGAUUGACGCUGAUGGAC
rnacentral:rRNA from 1 species